AGUUAUUAACAGUAGGCCUUGAGUGCAGUCAGGGAAAAGGCAGGGAAGGGAAGGAGGGAGGGAGGAAGGAAGAAGAAAAAAAUCAAAUAAGUGGGGUUAUGUAUAUGGCAUGGCAAAUUGGUGGUUGUCUGGAUGUCCAACAUACCCCCCCCCCAGUUUGAGGAGACAUGAGGAGCUUCUCAAAAACAUUUGGGGUGAUGUGUCUGGUGGGGAAUUCUAGCAAUUUCCAGUGUUGUUUCAGUGGGGAAGAUAUCAAAGACUUUUCUCUGCGAACCCUCUAACUGGGAGGAAAUUGAGCAGAUGCCAAAUGCUGAGGCUCAUUUAUGGAGAAAUUGGUGCACUACACCAAAAUAAAAUAUGGACAUUCCCAGUUACCUAGGAAAGAAGGCAAUUGAAUGUCAGUGGGUUUUUUAAAUUAAGCAAGGUUACACAGAGGCUGACUGUGCAGGCAACACUAAAUUUUUAAAAUCAACCAGAGGUUACAUUUGUAUGUUUGCAAAUUGACCUAUUUCUUGGGGGAGCUAUAAGCAAAAUUGUAUGACUCUUCCUUCUAUGGAGUCUGAAUAUGCAGCAGUUACAGGAGCCGGAAGAGAAUUACCGGUAAAGUAACUAAUGAAAGACUAUGGUCUAGUGAGACAGAAACCAAUUCAACUAAUGGAGGACAACCAGAGCUGUCUAGAGCUGAAUCAAAGUGAUAAAUUUUGUGCAAGAACAAAGCAUAUCCAAAAUGAAAUAUCGUUUUAUACAUGAGGUUAUAUGGGAAGAACUUGUAAACUUGUCAUAUUGUUCUGCAAAGGAAAUGAUAGCAGAUACUCUUAACGAAACCUUAGGCAAAAAAAAGUUUCUUUUUUUUUUUAAUGAUAUUUAUUAAAGUUUCACAAAGAAAGAAUCACAUC